rnacentral:rRNA from 1 species
AUUGAACGCUGGCGGCAUGCUUUACACAUGCAAGUCGAACGGUAACAGGCCGCAAGGUGCUGACGAGUGGCGAACGGGUGAGUAAUGCAUCGGAACGUGCCCAGUCGUGGGGGAUAACGCAGCGAAAGCUGCGCUAAUACCGCAUACGAUCUAUGGAUGAAAGCGGGGGACCGAAAGGCCUCGCGCGAGUGGAGGGGCCGAUGUCAGGUUAGGUAGUUGGUGGGGUAAAGGCUCACCAAGCCAACGAUCUGUAGCUGGUCUGAGAGGACGACCAGCCACACUGGGACUGAGACACGGCCCAGACUCCUACGGGAGGCAGCAGUGGGGAAUUUUGGACAAUGGGCGCAAGCCUGAUCCAGCAAUGCCGCGUGCAGGAAGAAGGCCUUCGGGUUGUAAACUGCUUUUGUACGGAACGAAACGGCUCUGGUUAAUACCUGGGGCUAAUGACGGUACCGUAAGAAUAAGCACCGGCUAACUACGUGCCAGCCGCCGCUGUAACAC